rnacentral:rRNA from 1 species
GAUGAACGCUGGCGGCGUGCCUAAUACAUGCAAGUCGAGCGAACAGACGAGGAGCUUGCUCCUCUGACGUUAGCGGCGGACGGGUGAGUAACACGUGGAUAACCUACAUAUAAGACUGGGAUAACUUCGGGAAACCGGAGCUAAUACCGGAUAAUAUAUUGAACCGCAUGGUUCAAUAGUGAAAGACGGUUUUGCUGUCACUUAUAGAUGGAUCCGCGCCGCAUUAGCUAGUUGGUAAGGUAACGGCUUACCAAGGCAACGAUGCGUAGCCGACCUGAGAGGGUGAUCAGCCACACUGGAACUGAGACACGGUCCAGACUCCUACGGGAGGCAGCAGUAGGGAAUCUUCCGCAAUGGGCGAAAGCCUGACGGAGCAACGCCGCGUGAGUGAUGAAGGUCUUCGGAUCGUAAAACUCUGUUAUUAGGGAAGAACAAAUGUGUAAGUAACUAUGCACGUCUUGACGGUACCUAAUCAGAAAGCCACGGCUAACUACGUG